CAGAGAAGCCCUCUUAGGCCAGUCUUUUAUUUUGAUUUUUAUCUUUUUUUUUUUUGCUGCAGAAUCUCUUCUUUAUUUUUGGGAUGUUCUAAAAGAAGAGCCUGUGGAGAAUCUCAGUUCGACGUGAUUUGUUCAGCAGGAGACCCCAGGAACAAUGGAACCUUGAAACACCCAGAAAGACAGAUGAGAAGAUUCUAUGUGCUAAUCUCAUUUCCAAAUGUAAUUGGUGUCUGAAUUAUGAAGCUCUCUGCUUCUAAAGGCUAUGUGAACAGAGACAUCCAUCCUCCUCUCCAUCGAAGUGGGCCCGGGCGUCACUGUGAUCCAUGCUCAUGGUUCCAGCAAGGGAGAAGAAGGAAAUCAGAAUGAAGUGUAGAAGUACAGAAAAGGUAACUGUAUGUGACACACAGCCUUCUGUACCAAGAGACUCUGGCUGGUAACAUGCA